GGGAGGAUUACAUGGCAUUAAUAAUCUAGCGCUAGCUGGCUAGCUAAAGAUAAUUAGAAGGUGGCUAACAAGCAAACAAUUUAAAGCUGAAUGAUUUUAAUAUUAACACAAAAUAAGUUCAAUACACCUUAAAUAUUUUACCCUACUAUGAGCUGUUCCUUAAUUUACAUUAGCACUCCUUCAGGAGCAAAAUACAAUUAAACACAUUAACCAAAGCUAGCACUUAGCUAGCAAUUAGCGAUUAGCACUUAGCUAGCGAUUAGCGCACAGCUAGCGAUUAGCGGUUAGCACGUAGACAUGGUAUUAACAUAUGGGCCAGAGCAAGGCACAAUCAAAAUUGCUUUAGGAAUUUUCUAGUUAAACUUAUUAUUAUUCUUCCGUACUCUUUUUCGGCGCGCUUCUUCUCCCGCAGCUUUUGUCGCACAUACACAAAAAAGGUAUCAAAACGUGCGGCUCGGCCGGGAAUCGAGUGCUAUGACUUUUCUAAGAAUUUCGCCAAACGGUUUGCCGAUAAAUCGCCAAAAACCGGUCCAAAAAAUGAAUGGGUGUGUAUUGCGAGAACCUCCAACUGAAAAAAACUGCCAGAGUGCGUGACAUCAUCGCUAGAGUGUGGGGAGAGAGAAAAAUUUGUCGAAAAAUAAAUUUGUAAACUGCUGUCAUGGCCACAAAUUUCACUCUACCGAAAUAAUUUAUAGAUAGAAACGUAGGUAAAUUCGUUGGGGUCGCAGUGAUACCACUGCUGAAGCUGUCAGACAAAUAGUUUUGGCGGGAGACGCACUGAUGCGCCAGCAACUCCCUCUCACGGCCCCAUCUACUCCCAUGUUAAUUUUAGAGGAGGAAUCUUGAAACACGCUCGUUGAACCUCUUCUCUCUCAAUCUCCCCAGGUCACAUUUUUUAACUUUAACCACUGAAACUCGGCAGUGCUAUAGUCAACAAGAUGACGACGCUCACGGUCUUUUCGGUUUUCAUUUCGGUCGUUCCUGGCCAUGCUUUUGAGGGGAUUCAUUUUAAAUGUUUUCUGUCUCUCUGAGGAGUUAGAGACAGAGAGAGCGCGCGCAGCUGCUGUGGGCUCCCCUGAUUGCCAUGACAACCAAAGCCUGUCCACACACACACACACACACACACACACACACACAGCUAGCUACAGAGAAUGACAAGACAUUAAUAAGCUAGCGCUAGCUGGCUAGCUAAAGAUAAUUAGCAGGUGGCUAACAAACAAACAAUUUAAAGCUGAAUGAUUUUAAUAUUAACACAAAAUAAGUUCAAUACACCUUAAAUAUUUUACCCUACUAUGAGCUGUUCCUUAAUUUACAUUAGCACUCCUUCAGGAGCAUAAUACAAUUAAACACAUUAACCAAAGCUAGCACUUAGCUAGCGAUUAGCGCUUAGCUAGCGAUUAGCAUGUAGCUAGCGAUUAGCAUGUAGCUAGCGAUUAGCAGUUAGCUAGCGAUUAGCACUUAGCUAGCGAUUAGCACGUAGCUAGCGAUUAGCGGUUAGCUAGCGAUUAGCACGUAGCUAAGCGCUAGCUUUGGUUUAUGUGUUUAUGUGUGCUAGCUCUAGCUAGCUAGCUAAAGAGAAUGACAUGAUAUUAAUAUGCUAGCGCUAGCUAAGGAGGAUGACAGGUUAUCAAUAUGCUAUAGGGAGGAUUACAUGGCAUUAAUAAUCUAGCGCUAGCUGGCUAGCUAAAGAUAAUUAGCAGGUGGCUAACAAGCAAACAAUUUAAAGCUGAAUGAUUUUAAUAUUAACACAAAAUAAGUUCAAUACACCUUAAAUAUUUUACCCUACUAUGAGCUGUUCCUUAAUUUACAUUAGCACUCCUUCAGGAGCAUAAUACAAUUAAACACAUUAACCAAAGCUAGCACUUAGCUAGCGAUUAGCGCUUAGCUAGCGAUUAGCAUGUAGAUAGCGAUUAGCGGUUAGCUAGCGAUUAGCACGUAGCUAGCGAUUAGCGGUUAGCUAGCGAUUAGCACGUAGCUAAGCGCUAGCUUUGGUUUAUGUGUGCUAGCUUUAGCUAGCUAGCUAAAGAGAAUGACAUGAUAUUAAUAUGCUAGCGCUAGCUAAGGAGGAUGACAGGUUAUCAAUAUGCUAUAGGGAGGAUUACAUGGCAUUAAUAAUCUAGCGCUAGCUGGCUAGCUAAAGAUAAUUAGCAGGUGGCUAACAAGCAAACAAUUUAAAGCUGAAUGAUUUUAAUAUUAACACAAAAUAAGAACAAUACACCUUAAAUAUUUUACCCUACUAUGAGCUGUUCCUUAAUUUACAUUAGCACUCCUUCAGGAGCAUAAUACAAUUAAACACAAUAACCAAAGCUAGCACUUAGCUAGCGAUUAGCGGUUAGCUAGCGAUUAGCGGUUAAAUAGCGGUUAGCACGUAGACAUGGUAUUAACAUAUGGGCCAGAGCAAGGCACAAUCAAAAUUGCUUUAGGAAUUUUCUAGUUAUUGUGCCUUGCAUAAGCAAGCACAAUACUACUAUCCCUCAUACUUAUUAUAUUUUAUUCUUCCGUACGUUUUUCGGCGCGCUACUCCUCCCGGAGCUUUUGUCGCACGUACACAAGAAAGGUAUCAAAACGUGCGGCUCGGCCGGGAAUCGAGUGCUAUGACUUUUCUAAGCGUUUCGCCAAACGGUUCGCCGUUAAAUCGCCAAAAACCGGUCCAAAAAAUGAAUGGGUGUGUAUUGCGAGAACCUCCAACUGAAAAAAACCGCCAGAGUGCGUGACAUCAUCGCUAGAGUGUGGGGAGAGAGAAAAAGUUGUCGAAAAAUAAAUUUGUAAACUGCUGUCAUGGCCACAAAUUUCACUGUACAGAAAUAAUUUAUAGAUAGAAACGUAGGUAAAUUCGUUGGGGUCGCAGUGAUACUACUGCUGAAGCUGUCAGACAAAUAGUUUUGGCGGGAGACGCACUGAUGCGCCAGCAACUCCCUCUCAUGGCCCCAUCUACUCCCAUGUUAAAAUGGAGAGGAGGAUUCUUGAAAAACGCUCGUUGAACCUCUUCUCUCUCAAUCUCCCCAGGUCACAUUUUUUAACUUUAACCACUGAAACUCGGCAGUGCUAUA